rnacentral:tRNA from 1 species
CCGGAGGGCUAGUAGCUCAGUUGGUUAGAGCGCGCGCUUGAUAAGCGUGAGGUCGGAGGUUCAAGUCCUCCCAGGCCCACCAAUUUAUGAUAAAAAAAUGCUGAUAAUUAAGUUUGUUACUGAUAAGUUUUUUUUUAAAAAAUUAAUUUGUGAAUGUUUUUUGAUGGUCUUUUAUCUUACAAUAUAAUAAAAAAUUUAAAUAAAAUAAUUACUUUCAUUUAUAACUUUUAUUUAAAAAAAAAAAAAUAUAUAAUUAAAUUUUGUUGCAAUAAUUUUAUUAUAUAAAUUAAAUUAAAAUAUUUUCUUUCAAAAGUAAAUUUGAACAUAAUUGUUUUAUGGGCCGUAUCUCGGCUGGGAGAGCACCUGCUUUGCAAGCAGGGGGUCGUCGGUUCGAUCCCGUCCGGCUCCACCAUUUUUGGUUAUCAUCAUCGUUAAGGAACAAUGUUUGCAAUAGAUCUGUAGAUCUUAAGUCUAUCAUCUAUUGCCUGUUCUAUUGAAAUUGUG